UUGUUAAAUUUCCGGGGUUAACCU
rnacentral:siRNA from 1 species